rnacentral:rRNA from 1 species
UGGGGAAUAUUGCACAAUGGGCGAAAGCCUGAUGCAGCGACGCCGCGUGAGGGAUGACGGCCUUCGGGUUGUAAACCUCUUUCAGUAGGGACGAAGCGCAAGUGACGGCACCUGCAGAAGAAGCACCGGCCCACUACGUGCCAGCAGCCGCGGUAACACGUAGGGUGCGAGCGUUGUCCGGAAUUACUGGGCGUAAAGAGCUCGUAGGCGGUUUGUCACGUCGUCUGUGAAAUCCUCGGGCUUAACCCUGGACGUGCAGGCGAUACGGGCUGACUUGAGUACUACAGGGGAGACUGGAAUUUCUGGUGUAGCGGUGAAAUGCACAGAUAUCAGGAAGAACACCGAUGGCGAAGGUAGGUCUCUGGGUAGUAACUGACGCUGAGGAGCGAAAGCAUGGGUAGCGAACAGG